rnacentral:misc_RNA from 1 species
UGCCUAUGCUUCAAAUACUUCUUUAGCUUUAGAAUUCACCUCCAUAAGGGUGAGGGCUAGUCAGGUAUGUCUACCAUGCUACCUUAUUCGAACAUAACAACUAUAGUUAUUACAUGAGCUAUUUUGGCCACCAACAAAAUCUUUCCUCUUGAGUCUUGAUGUUGAGAUUUUGAAUUUGCUGAAAAUAUGACAGGUUUUUAUAUUACCCGUUACACUUCUAAACUGAUGAUGCCUCCAACGUUUAGGUUUCAGCUAAUGACAUAACUUUUCCUUUCAUUCUUCUGUGAUCAUAUUUUCUGGUGCUGAUGAUGCAACGGAAGAGUACUGCAGUGGUGUGCUUGAAACAAACAGGAGAGGCUUCGGUGGAAUUUGCAGGGAUUGAACAUUAACUUCCAACAUCUCUAAUACCUUUGUCAUUGAAGGUCUAUCUGAUGGAUUUGUCUGAAUGCACCACAAGCCCACUAUGAUCAUCCUUCUUAUCGUUUCUUCUUCUUCUGUUGUUAUGUUUCUAUGAAGUCUAGAAAUCUCUCC